UGUGUGUGACACAAAAACACACUUUCCAGUCAUUUAUUGCAGGUGGAUCGGAUCGACAGAUUGCACCACAUUGAGCCAGUUUGUUUGACAGACAAAUUUGUGCAGCCGCUUAGAAAUGUGCAAGUGGAAAACGCUUUGCUGAAAACACACAUACGCACACACAUAGAGCAGCAGAGGCGAAAAAUUGCAAUUAUCUAAAUGGAAUGGAUUAGUUCGGGGGCCAACAAAGACAAAAACCUUCAAGAGUGCAAACUACGCAAAUUUCGUCACAACUUAAUGGCAAUUGAAAGUGCUGGCACGCAUUCGGUCCACAGCUAGAUGCCGAGAGGUGCUGCUGCCCCUGCCCCGAUCCAUAGUCGAGUUAUUUAGUGGAGUAACAGACCCAACCAACUGGCAGCGACCGUGUGCUGUGUUAAUGAGCGCCGUGAGAGCGAGCUCAGUGCAUGCCCACUGCGUGUAUGUAUAUGAUGAUUGAUGAUUGUGCAACGCUCUUUUGGUUGUAAGUCUAGAAGUUUUUAUAUGGAUGAGCCUAUAUUAAAUGGCAUUUGGUUAUGUAUAAUCGAUUCAUGCUCAAAAAAUCAAACGUUUAAGGUGAAAAGUUGUUUGUUAUGUUUAUAUAGAAGCCUACAUCAUAUAUAUCAUCUCAUAGAGACACAUCCUUCGUGGUGGCAUACCAUAAGAGUUUUGUACAAUAUUCAAUAUUUAUCAGAGCUGAACAUUUAAAAAUGAAGCAAUCAAAUCUGUUCUGUUCAGCUAUGCUCACAGAAGCUCAUACUUAAAUAUAUAUUUUUUAGUACACUA